UAGAUAUAACUAAAUCAAGAA
rnacentral:piRNA from 1 species